CUAAAAUUGAUCACCAGGGGGAGUUUGUGCUUUGAUUGGAUAUUUGGUUUAACAGUUUAAUCCCCUUAGUAGUUGUUAGUAAAUAGUCAUAUUCUGCAUUCAGCACACCAUUUCCAAGCUGUUGGUAGCACUAUGGGCUGGUUGCUGUUAGUAGUGUCCUGUGUCUGUUUGCAUUUAUCGACCUCAAUAGCUUCUGUAGUAGCUGUUCCUCAGGUCCUGAAGUGGUUUAACCACUUUUGCCUCAUCCCAUCGCACAACAAUCCCUUGCAGCCAAAGCUUAUAAGAACAACAUUGUUGUGCGAUGGGAUGAAGCAAAAGUGGUUAAACCAACUGUAAAGAUUCCACUUGCUUGUGUUUACAUACUAUAACAAAUCAAGCUCUCAGCAAGUAUAAAUAUAUAUUGGCACUGAAGAGGGACAUAUGCUAGUCCGAAAACGUUAUGCCAAAUAAAACAAAAAAUUUUACUUGCCG
rnacentral:lncRNA from 1 species